GCAGAGUAGAAGCUGGUGCGUUAAGUGUCAUGUGAACAGGGAGUUGUCAUGUGAACGAAAAGGAGAUCUUGCGAUAUCAGCUUCGCAUCCCGCUGC
rnacentral:ncRNA from 1 species